GGGACGGGAGGGGGAGGGGAACGCGCAGCCCUAGCAGACAAUAAGCGCUAGGCAGCCUGCGGGCGUGGGUUGAGCAGCUAGCCCCGUCCCCAGAGUGGGGGGGAGUGCACCCAGGGGCGCCCAGCUCGGGGACACUAAGGGGGAGACCUGGCAGGCGACCCAUAUUCAUCCAUCAGUGAAAGAACUCAUGCCCGGGUCCCCAGCUACACACACACACACACACACACACACACACACACACACACACAGUCGCACCCGGGACAGAAGGGGGAGGGAAACUUGGCACGGGGGGAGCUGCAUCUUUGUAGCCCCGCACUGACGGCCGCCGCUAACGGACCGGCGCGCCACCCCCUAGGUCAGCGCGCCCCUAAAGUCGGUGGGGAAAGUGCCCAACUGGCCCUCCCAUCUGCCCCUCCAAAUUAAACCCUCCUCCCCGCGCGCAGUUGCUUGUCACCGACCUGAAACUUUCUCAACGACCCUUUUUCGGGAUGCUUAGGUUGUGGGGGUCGUUUGGGAUCUAAGGUGUCAUCUGGGAAAGGUGCCCUUGCGCACACUCCUGCCUCGCCCCUGCUCUUAAAACAUAUACUAAAUUCCUGGGAGGUUUUGUAGAGUUCGGGACAACAUUCCCUAGCUAACCUUUGGGUCGUGGUGUGCGGAAAGGUUAAAUCUAUGAGGUGCUGGGGACCGUGGCGGGAGGAAAACAAACUGUCCUGUCCCAGGACACCCCUCGGGUUGCGGCGUUCUCUCUGAGUUUUCCCUGGACUUCAGGUAACUCAAAGAUAACGCGUCGGGAAGGAGCCGGGUACCGACUAGGGACCCAGAGAGAAAAGCUGUUUCUCCACCCCCAAGUCUCUCACACACACCCCUUAGUCGCUCCCUCCAAAUGGUUAUCACAACUGUGUACAAACUGAUACGGCCCUUAGCGGGCCAAGGACUGGAAACGAACAUUGGCGGGGUUAUCAGCGCCGAUCUGUCAGCAGCGAGUCGUGCACUGCUCGUCCCAGGCAGCAGUGAUAUACGUCUUGUUCCUGCGGGCUCACAGAAAGGAUUCCUUCCGACAAGCUGGACACUGGAAGGCUGAGGAAAGAUAGUUGAACAGGAGGAACUCUCUAACCGGAAUGGAUUUUUACACACACACCCCAGCGCGGCUGCCUUUCUGAAAGGCUGAAGAUAGAAAACUCUGGAACGGAGAGGCUAGAGGCUGGAGUGGGAUUCGGAGGCUUUAAAUUUUAACCAGUGUUCGAUCGAAAGUUACAACCACAAGAGACUGGCACGGGCCGGCCCAAUUCCCACCGCAGGUUCCAACGGCUUGCUUUGGGUUGUUGGGUAAGUUCUGACCAAAUUUUUAAACGGACUGGGUUCUGCGAAGUUCAUUUGUAAGCAAUUCAUUAAAACUCUGGACAU